rnacentral:rRNA from 1 species
UACUCGAGUGGCGAACGGGUGAGUAACACGUGGGUGAUCUGCCCUGCACUUCGGGAUAAGCUUGGGAAACUGGGUCUAAUACCGGAUAAUAACUGCCUUUAGUGUGGUGGUUGGAAAGUUUUUUCGGUGCAAGAUGAGCUCGCGGCCUAUCAGCUUGUUGGUGGGGUAAUGGCCUACCAAGGCGUCGACGGGUAGCCGGCCUGAGAGGGUGUACGGCCACAUUGGGACUGAGAUACGGCCCAG